rnacentral:misc_RNA from 1 species
GAUGAAGAACGCAGUGAAAUGCGAUAAGUAAUGUGAAUUGCAGAAUUCAGUGAAUCAUCGAAUCUUUGAACGCACAUUGCGCCCCCUGGUAUUCCGGGGGGCAUGCCUGUUCGAGCGUCAUUUCACCACUCAAGCCUCGCUUGGUAUUGGGCAACGCGGUCCGCCGCGUGCCUCAAAUCGACCGGCUGGGUCUUCUGUCCCCUAAGCGUUGUGGAAACUAUUCGCUAAAGGGUGCUCGGGAGGCUACGCCGUAAAACAAACCCAUUUCUAAGGUUGACCUCGGAUCAGGUAGGGAUACCCGCUGAACUUAAGCAUAUCAAUAAGCGGAGG